AUGCAGCAACGCCGCGUGAGGGAUGACGGGCUUUCGGGUUGUAAACCUCUUUAGCAGGGAAGAAGCGAAAGUGACGGUACUGCAGAAAAAGCGCCGGGCUAACUACGUGCCCAGCAGCCGCGGUAAUACGUAGGGCGCAAGCGUUAUCCGGGAAUUAUUGGGCGUAAAGAGCUCGUAGGCGGUUUGUCGCGUCUGCUGUGAAAUCCCGAGGCUCAACCUCGGGCCUGCAGUGGGUACGGGCAGACUAGAGUGCGGUAGGGGAGAUUGGAAUUCCUGGUGUAGCGGUGGAAUGCGCAGAUAUCAGGAGGAACACCGAUGGCGAAGGCAGAUCUCUGGGCCGUAACUGACGCUGAGGAGCGAAAGGGUGGGGAGCAAACAGGCUUAGAUACCCUGGUAGUCCACCCCGUAAACGUUGGGAACUAGUUGUGGGGUCCAUUCCACGGAUUCCGUGACGCAGCUAACGCAUUAAGUUCCCCGCCUGGGGAGUACGGCCGCAAGGCUAAAACUCAAAGGAAUUGACGGGGACCCGCACAAGCGGCGGAGCAUGCGGAUUAAUUCGAUGCAACGCGAAGAACCUUACCAAGGCUUGACAUAUAGAGGAAACGGCUGGAAACAGUCGCCCCGCAAGGUCUCUAUACAGGUGGUGCAUGGUUGUCGUCAGCUCGUGUCGUGAGAUGUUGGGUUAAGUCCCGCAACGAGCGCAACCCUCGUUCUAUGUUGCCAGCACGUAAUGGUGGGAACUCAUGGGAUACUGCCGGGGUCAACUCGGAGGAAGGUGGGGAUGACGUCAAAUCAUCAUGCCCCUUAUGUCUUGGGCUUCACGCAUGCUACAAUGGCCGGUACAAAGGGCUGCAAUACCGUGAGGUGGAGCGAAUCCCAAAAAGCCGGUCCCAGUUCGGAUUGAGGUCUGCAACUCGACCUCAUGAAGUCGGAGUCGCUAGUAAUCGCAGAUCAGCAACGCUGCGGUGAAUACGUUCCCGGGUCUUGUACACACCGCCCGUCAAGUCAUGAAAGUCGGUAACACCUGAAGCCGGUGGCCCAACCCUUGUGGAGGGAGCUUCGAAUGUAG
rnacentral:rRNA from 1 species